UACUUCAACAUCGAGUUUACGCACUGCCA
rnacentral:piRNA from 1 species